GUCUAUCUCUCUCUAAAUGGA
rnacentral:miRNA from 1 species